AAUAUUGGAAAAUGGGUGCAACACUGAUCUAGCCAUGCCGCGUGUUUGAAGAAGGUCUUCGGAUUGUAAAGCACUUUAAGUUGGGAGGAAGGGCUUUAGGUUAAUACCCUGAAGUUUUGACGUUACCAACAGAAUAAGCACCGGCUAACUCUGUGCAAGCAGCCGCGGUAAUACAGAGGGUGCAAGCGGUCAUCGGAAUUACUGGGCGUAAAACGAGCGUAGGUGGUUCAGUAAGAUGGGUGUGAAAUCCCCGGGCUUAACCUGGGAACUGCUUUCAUAACUGCUGAGCUAGAGUACGGUAGAGGGUAGUGGAAUUUCCUGUGUAGCGGUGAAAUGCGUAGAUAUAGGAAGGAACACCAGUGGCGAAGACGACUACCUGGACUGAUACUGACACUGAGGUGCGAAAGCGUGGGGAGCAAAC
rnacentral:rRNA from 1 species